CAACCUGCCUGUAAGACUGGGAUAACUCCGGGAAACCGGGGCUAAUACCGGAUAACCCUUCGGACCUCAUGGUCCGGAGCUGAAAGACGGUUAUGCUGUCACUUACAGAUGGGCCCGCGGCGCAUUAGCUAGUUGGUGAGGUAACGGCUCACCAAGGCAACGAUGCGUAGCCGACCUGAGAGGGUGAUCGGCCACACUGGGACUGAGACACGGCCCAGACUCCUACGGGAGGCAGCAGUAGGGAAUCUUCCGCAAUGGACGAAAGUCUGACGGAGCAACGCCGCGUGAGUGAAGAAGGUUUUCGGAUCGUAAAACUCUGUUGUUAGGGAAGAACAAGUACGAGAGUAACUGCUCGUACCUUGACGGUACCUAACCAGAAAGCCACGGCUAACUACGUGCCAGCAGCCGCGGUAAUACGUAGGUGGCAAGCGUUGUCCGGAAUUAUUGGGCGUAAAGCGCGCGCAGGCGGUCUUUUAAGUCUGAUGUGAAAGCCCCCGGCUCAACCGGGGAGGGUCAUUGGAAACUGGAGGACUUGAGUGCAGAAGAGGAGAGCGGAAUUCCACGUGUAGCGGUGAAAUGCGUAGAGAUGUGGAGGAACACCAGUGGCGAAGGCGGCUCUCUGGUCUGUAACUGACGCUGAGGCGCGAAAGCGUGGGGAGCGAACAGGAUUAGAUACCCUGGUAGUCCACGCCGUAA
rnacentral:rRNA from 1 species